rnacentral:hammerhead_ribozyme from 17 species
CAAGCGUCUGGGGUAAGAAGUCGCUGCCAUCAGCCCCACUGAUGAGUCUAGGCAGUGACUCCGAGACGAAACGCAUU